GGUCGGACAUCAGGAGGUUAGUGCAAUGGCAUAAGCCAGCUUGACUGCGAGCGUGACGGCGCGAGCAGGUGCGAAAGCAGGUCAUAGUGAUCCGGUGGUUCUGAAUGGAAGGGCCAUCGCUCAACGGAUAAAAGGUACUCCGGGGAUAACAGGCUGAUACCGCCCAAGAGUUCAUAUCGACGGCGGUGUUUGGCACCUCGAUGUCGGCUCAUCACAUCCUGGGGCUGAAGUAGGUCCCAAGGGUAUGGCUGUUCGCCAUUUAAAGUGGUACGCGAGCUGGGUUUAGAACGUCGUGAGACAGUUCGGUCCCUAUCUGCCGUGGGCGCUGGAGAACUGAGGGGGGCUGCUCCUAGUACGAGAGGACCGGAGUGGACGCAUCACUGGUGUUCGGGUUGUCAUGCCAAUGGCACUGCCCGGUAGCUAAAUGCGGAAGAGAUAAGUGCUGAAAGCAUCUAAGCACGAAACUUGCCCCGA
rnacentral:rRNA from 1 species